UCCAUUUGCUCACUCUCAUUCUCUCUCUUCGCUUCUAAAGCAAAGUUGCUCUGCAACUUCUUCCUCUUCUCCGUCACUCUCCUCACGGCCAAACCUGUCGGAGAAGACGGUGGCGGCCGGCCAACCGCGGCGGCGCCACCCUCUUCUCCGGUGACUCUCCACCCAAAUCCUAAAAAUCCAAACGUAUACCCCACCUCAUUUUGGCCGGAGGUUCCGGCCUCAGUCUUUUCAAAAUCCGCUUCAAUCAACCGGACCGGCGUGACGAACAAAAAGCGAAUGGGUUUCAAGCAAGGAAAUGAGGGAAAGGAAUUACUUGGCUUGCGUCGCCGGUGAUGACGAGUUCCUCCACCGUGCUUCAGAUAAGUUUCUUUCUCUUUCUUAAUGCACUUCGCCUCCCUCUAUUCUUUCUUCUUCUUUUUUGUUUUGAAUGUUGUUGUUGCCUUAUUCGAAUGUUAGGGUUUUCAACAAAUUAUUUCUGUUUUCUUCUCCUUCGAUUCUCCUGUUAGAUGGUGUUUUUGUUUUUUAGGGUUUGGUGUUAAUAGAAAAUAUUUGUGAUCACUCCCUCCUGGAUUCUCAAAGCCGUGUUCUUUGUUUUGUUGUUUAGGGUUUGAGGUUAACAGAAAAAAUAUUUUGAUUGUUUUCUCUUGGAUUUUCCAAAAACGUUCAUGUUACUGUUAAUUUGUUGUUGUUAUAUAUGAUGAAUGCUUAGGUUCUGAGAUAACUUGUUAAGUUAUCUUUUUUCCAGAUUUUAUGGGAUGUUUACUCUGUGGAUUUAGAGUUGUUUAGAUUGGAUAUUGGAACGCAUCAUUGGGCGUUCACUUUGGUUCACUGUGCAAAAUAUCAGUUCAUUUCAUCAAUUGUUUUUCAGUUUUUCAUAAGUGCUUAUUUGAUAAGCCCUUCUUAAUCUUCUGAAUUGAUUUUGCAGGUUUUUACAAAAGUGAAGUGAUGUUGAUUGAAAAGAGGCUUGCGCCUGUUUUGGAGGUGGGAAUUGGGGCGUUGCAUCUUCAAACUCUUGGCUUUGGAAAUGUCCUUGAAAAGUUGUUGUUCAACCUGUUGGAUUUACAAUGUUUUCUACCUUUUUUCAAAUUCAUUUUGGUGUAACGGAACUUUUGGAUAAAGUGCAUUUGGAUUAUGUAUUGGUUGUUUGUAACAUGUACAUUUUUAAUUUGAGACCACUUUUGGAUAA